GUAACGGAGCAAAAUGCUUACUUUUGGUUAAAAGCUUCCACUUUUAAUGUAAAGGAGAUGGAUUUAUAUAUUUCACUAAGGGUCUAGUAUAUUUAAGAAGAGUAAGGUAUUCAACAGACAUCUAUUGUGGACAAGAAGAUAAAUGCAAGGUAUUUAAGAUAAAUUCAAGGUAUUUUAUAAGAAGGGGGGAGAAGAUGAAAUCAAGAUAUUUUAUAAGAAGGGGCAAGAAGAUAAAAGCAAGGUAUGUUGCCUACUGACAGGGGUGCUCUCCAACCUCGAAGGAAGGAGAGAACUUGUACGGUAGCCAAAGGGUUAAGAAUGUUUGGUUAUGUAUACAUAUUUAUUCAAGCUAUGUAAUUAUGAAAUGUAGACAGUUGUCUUGUUGGUCAGAAAGAUAUUGACAGUCAGGCUGAGUGAACUAAUGUAUUGUAGACAGAGAUUGAGGUCAAAUGAGAUAUGGAGAGACAAGAGACCAAGUACUCACUGAAUAUAUCUCUUCAGCCUUUACCGGCAAAGCAUACAGUCAAUGUAUAAUAAUCCAGAGUUCAUCUAGUCCUAGAAAUUGCCUUCUUACACAAUGGUAGAGUUGAUAGUUUUACUGAAUAAUAUUGUCUGAUAUAAUUGAAUAUGAAGUAAAGAAAACUCCUUUAAUAAUUUAGCUCUGAUGCCACUAUCUAGCUACAUGUAUGUACAAUUCAUGUACAUGUGGCAUAAAUUUGCUUGGAAAAUCACACUGAAAUUUCAAAUCACAGUUUGGAUUUCAUGUCUACAGUCCACCUAAGGCUGGGGGAAUCUACAUUGUCUCGUUGUACGGUUGAUUUCUCUAUGAUUUGUGUAACAAUUCAAAGAAAAAUUGUGAAAAAAA